rnacentral:lncRNA from 1 species
AUAUGUUUGGUCUUGGUACUUUAGUUGUCAUGUUAGUUUAAAUAACUUGGUUGGUCACUAGCGAUAUUGCAUUGCUUCUUUGAGAUUUUUGGACUGUCAUUAUAUUUGCACUCUGACUUGGUUAUUAUUAAAUCUGUAUUUGCACUUGCAAUUGGGUAUACGCUUAGUUGCCUAAUUGGUGUUGAGUCUUCGCUUAGUUGAUGAAACUGCAUGGUGUAAUUGGAUUUGAUGUUAACAUUGCGUUCGCUUAGUUCGCUUUUAGGAAAAAAUGAUUAGUCUUCGCUUAGUUGGUUAACUGUGUUGGAUUAAAGGUUUGCCUCGCCGCUUUAUUUUGUUGAUCUGUAAUUGGAAGCAUUGUAAUUAAGUUAAUGACCAACCGUUUUUCUUCUAUAUGUGAUUUCGUCUUUAGAUCUGUGUUUAAUUAUCAGUUUGAGUUCGUGUUUUGAUUUAGUCCAUUCGCAUUCACAAACCUUUCACAACCCCCGCACUUCGUGUUUGACCUGAUUCUCGAACCACAGUUUGGUCCUUGAGAGACGACCUNGGAGUCACUUCCUAGUCUAUACUGCAUUCUUUUAUGCGCAUGAAAUUUUGCAUGGGGUGCGACACCAUUCAAAAUUUUGGCGCCAUUGCCGGGGACCAAAGGUUCGGUUUUAGGUAUUUUGUUGUGUUUGUGUAUGUUGUGUUUUGUCUUGUGUUGUAAGGGUGUUGUUCCGUUUUGUGUGUCGUGUCAUGUCUGUUGCAUUUAGAUAGCUUUAGUUGCAUAUUUUCAUUCCAUUCUUCUUUCCUUCCCCCCUUUUUCUACAUGUCUACCUAUUUUGAUUCUGUGAAUAAUGCUUAUUUUGUUAGUGCCUACGAUUAUGAUUCUCUUUCUGGAUGUUACUCUGAUGAUUGUGAUGUACACUCUGCUGAUUUCUGUGUUGAGAACAAUAUGACUCAUCCUCCCACUCAUGAGAGUGCUCCUAGGGAGCCAGCUUCACUUAGUGAGGAUGAUGUUCAUUACAUUCUCACCUCUGGACUGAUUCAUUUACUGCCUAAGUUUCAUGGUUUUGCAAGUGAAUGCCCACAUAAACAUUUGGAGGAGUUCCACAUCAUUUUCUCUUCAAUAAAGCCUCCAUAUGUCCCGGUUGAUCACAUGUUCUUAAGGGCAUUCCCACACUCAUUACAAGAAGCAGCUAGGGAUUGGCUUUAUGGUCUUCCUCUAGGAUCCAUCACUUCUUGGGAAGAUUUUAAGCAUAUGUUCUUGGAUGAAUUCUUCCCUGCUCAGUAUGGUUACAACAACGAUCCUGGAUGGAAUGACCCUAGCUUAGGAUGGUAUGACACUCCACAGCUAUAUCAACCAUCUCAGAAUACUUCUAUGCCUCCACCAGUCCAACAAUACCAGAGUUAGCAGUAUGAUGCUCCUGCCCAAAUAGCUCCUCAACCUUCUACUUCUGAGCCUACAUUGGAGGAGUUACUUAGGCAGAUGGCCAUGCAGAACAUUUAGUUCAUGCAAGAGACCACAGCGUCAAUUCAGAGUUUGAGCAACCAGAUGGGGCAGACGGCCACUAAGUUCAUUCAGGAGCAGUCUCAAGAUCCAGAGUUACAUUCUCAGACUGUUCAGAAUCUGGAAAAUGAUGUUAGUGUCGUUGACCUAGGAGAUGGGAACCAGAGUCUUGUGCUCAUUGUGACACCUACUUUCCCACCUUCAGAUGUCCCUACUCUUGCACCUGAGGAGACUGAUAAAGAUUUUAAGGCCCAUGCAGAUAUGAGCAGAUAUAUUAAGCCAGGUGGAUUUUCUUCGUCUUCCACGACUGAAGGUGAUUUACUGAUGAAUCAUCCCUUCCUUGACCCUGUCGUGGAAGACAGUUCUCUUUUGGAUCAGAUUUGGCGGAUGAAGUCCUUCCUCAGCACUUCAUUUCUUGAUCCAUUUAUGGAAGACACUUCUCUACAAGUCCAAAAUUGGCAACUGCCACCAUGACCAGGGGAGUUUUCUUUUCCCUUCUCCUCCUUUCCCACUUUUAUUACACUUGUCCAUGAUCUGUUCACUGUUCUGAUUUUUGAUCUUAUGCUUAUGACACAUUGAGGACACUGUGUAGUUUAAGUAUGGUCUAUUAGGGGAGAUUUUCACUUUUCCUUUGUUUCAGUUUAUUUUUUCUGCGUUAAAUUUUUUGUUUUCUAGAUAGUUUUUGUUGUGUCUUGUAUACAGUUUUACAUGUUUCUCUUGAUUUCUGGACUUUGUUUAGGUUGUAGAUGUGUCUCUCACUCCAUUGAUACUCUGAUUGGCUUGAAAUCCUUGCCUUUCUUUGCUUGGAAAGAUCAUUAUGAUGUUUGAGAGGUUGAAAUUAUUGUGACAGAAAUACCCUGUGUCAGAUUUGAGCCACUUGAUAUUCUUUCUUGUGUGUGAUAUGUCUCUUGAUUGCUUGCACAUGUACCUUGGCUUGACUCUUUUUGAUGUUUCUUGGUUGAUAUGCAUGUUCGGAAGUGAUAAAGGCAGUUUUGUUGUUGAGCCUCUCUAGCCAGAUGAGUCUACCUUGUUGUGAUCCCUUGAUAACCCCUUUUGAGCCUAUACUUUCCCCUGUUCUUUGUUUUCAAGCUCACUACUUACCCUUAAGUGAAAAACCAUGAUUACCUUAACCUUAGGGAAUUUUGGAGCUUUCUAAGUGUUUUGGGAACAAGUGUGGUCUCCUUAGGGAUUCUGAUGAAUUGGCUAGUUGGUUCCUCUUCUUCUUCGCUUAGUUGAUGAAACUGCAUGGUGUAAUUGGAUUUGAUGUUAACAUUGCGUUCGCUUAGUUCGCUUUUAGGAAAACAUGAUUAGUCUUCGCUUAGUUGGUUAAUUGUGUUGGAUUAAGGUUUGAGUCGCCGCUUUAUUUUGUUGAUCUGUGAUUGGAAGCAUUGUAAUUAAGUUAAUGAACAAUCGUUUUUCUUCUGUAUGUGAUUUCGUUUUUAGAUCUGUGAUUAAUUAUCAGUUUGAGUCCGUGUUUUGAUUUAGUCCAUCCGCAUUCACAAACCUUUCACAGACCCCUCCCACUUCGUGUUUGACCUGAUUCUCGAACCACAAUUUGGUCCUUGAGAGACGACCUAAGAGUCACUUCCUAGUCUAUACUGCAUUCUUUUAUGCACAUUAAAUUUUGCAUGGGGUGCGACACCCAUCACAUAUUAAGGGAGUUCAACAGUUAUAGUCUUAUGAUGCCUUGCUUGCUCAAAACAAGAUUAUUACUCAACAACUUGAGGUCUUAACAAAGAAGCUCUCCCAGCC